GACGAACGCUGGCGGCGUGCUUAACACAUGCAAGUCGAACGGAAAGGCCCUGCUUUUGUGGGGUGCUCGAGUGGCGAACGGGUGAGUAACACGUGAGUAACCUGCCCUUGACUUUGGGAUAACUUCAGGAAACUGGGGCUAAUACCGGAUAGGAGCUCCUGCUGCAUGGUGGGGGUUGGAAAGUUUCGGCGGUUGGGGAUGGACUCGCGGCUUAUCAGCUUGUUGGUGGGGUAGUGGCUUACCAAGGCUUUGACGGGUAGCCGGCCUGAGAGGGUGACCGGCAACAUUGGGAUGGAGUAACGCCCCAGCCCCCGCGGGGGGGCAGAGGGGGGGAUGAUGGAACAAGGGGGGGAGGCUGGAGGCAGCAACCCCGGGUGGGGGAGGCGGGCUUCGGGUUUGAAAACCGCUUCCGCCUGGGACGAAGGGUGAGUGAGGGUAAGGGGUAAAGAAGCACCGGCUAACUACGUC
rnacentral:rRNA from 1 species